rnacentral:rRNA from 1 species
UGGGGAAUUUUGGACAAUGGGCGCAAGCCUGAUCCAGCCAUGCCGCGUGAGUGAAGAAGGCCUUCGGGUUGUAAAGCUCUUUCGGUGGGGAAGAAAUGGCACGGGUUAAUACCCUGUGUUGAUGACGGUACCCGCAUAAGAAGCACCGGCUAACUACGUGCCAGCAGCCGCGGUAAUACGUAGGGUGCGAGCGUUAAUCGGAAUUACUGGGCGUAAAGCGUGCGCAGGCGGUUGUAUAAGUCAGAUGUGAAAUCCCCGGGCUCAACCUGGGAACUGCAUUUGAGACUGUACGGCUAGAGUUUGGCAGAGGGGGGUGGAAUUCCACGUGUAGCAGUGAAAUGCGUAGAGAUGUGGAGGAACACCGAUGGCGAAGGCAGCCCCCUGGGCCAAUACUGACGCUCAUGCACGAAAGCGUGGGGAGCAAACAG